AUUGAACGCUGGCGGCAGGCCUAACACAUGCAAGUCGAGCGGAUGAAGGGAGCUUGCUCCUGGAUUCAGCGGCGGACGGGUGAGUAAUGCCUAGGAAUCUGCCUGGUAGUGGGGGAUAACGUCCGGAAACGGGCGCUAAUACCGCAUACGUCCUGAGGGAGAAAGUGGGGGAUCUUCGGACCUCACGCUAUCAGAUGAGCCUAGGUCGGAUUAGCUAGUUGGUGGGGUAAAGGCCUUCCAAGGCGACGAUCCGUAACUGGUCUGAGAGGAUGAUCAGUCACACUGGAACUGAGACACGGUCCAGACUACUACGGGAGGCAGCAGUGGGGAAUAUUGGACAAUGGGCGAAAGCCUGAUCCAGCCAUGCCGCGUGUGUGAAGAAGGUCUUCGGAUUGUAAAGCACUUUAAGUUGGGAGGAAGGGCAGUAAGUUAAUACCUUGCUGUUUUGACGUUACCAACAGAAUAAGCACCGGCUAACUUCGUG
rnacentral:rRNA from 1 species